GUGCCAGCAGCCGCGGUAAUACGUAGGGGGCAAGCGUUGUCCGGAUUUAUUGGGCGUAAAGCGCCCGCAGGCGGUCGCGUCAGUUUGGGGUGACAGCUCCUGGCUUAACCGGGAGAGGACCUCGAAGACGGCGUGACUUGAGGGCCAGAGAGGGACAUGGAACUCCGGGUGGAGUGGUGAAAUGCGUAGAGAUCCGGAAGAACACCAAAGGCGAAGGCAGUGUCCUGGCUGGCACCUGACGCUCAGGGGCGAAAGCGAGGGGAGCGAACGGGAUUAGAUACCCCGGUAGUCC
rnacentral:rRNA from 1 species